UUGGGCUGCAAAUAGAUAGGUCCAAAGCAACGCACAGGGCCCGUGGAGAGCGGUCCAUCUUGCCUCGUUUCUCGCAGAAGCAGCCAUGGAGAAGGGCAAGGGUCUGGCUCCGAGAUGGGCGGUGGAAUUCGCCGAGUCUUUUUCUGGUGUUCCAGUUUUUCUCGGUCUCAAUCGAUCUUCCAUGAUCUCGGACCAUUCAUCCACUCCACCUCUUCUUCCAAACUUCUAGCAAUCUGUAUGAAGAAUUGGAGAUUUCCUUCUACGUGCAGGACGACGCGAAUGGAGAGAGGCGGAGGCGGCGUGGAUGUCGCAGGCGGUCAAGUUUUCUGGUGGGAGUCUUCAAUGCAUUGACCUUAUCUUCAUCCACUGUGUCAAACCAGUUGAAGAUUUGGAAUCUUGCUAUGUUGGAUGCUGAUCCUGGUGCGAGAUCAAUUUCCUGCUCUCAGAGGAAAUGAUAACUAAAUUUCCAAGUGGACUUUUGCUCGUGCAAUGUGACAGAUUCUCAUUAUUUUGUGCUAUAUGCAUAGCUCCAUUUGUUGUGUCCUUUCAGAGAACCAAGUUAACCUUAUUAUGUCAUGUUUGUUGAUAAGAGGCCUCUGUCACUUAUAGCUUGUGAUACAUAUUAAUGUCUUGAUUGCUGCAACAGUGCUGUUAAGUAUGGAUUAUAGGAAUGCAGCUUUAGUAAUAUUUGUCUGGAGACCAGAUGAUCUGUUGUUCACAGUUAAUUCUGAACCUGUAGGAAGUAAAACUUUUCUUUUUCUUUUUC